ACACAUGCCAUUAUCUAGAAGCCUUUAUUUCCUUUGUCCUCCUCUUUAUUCAACUAAUGCCUCAGAUUGCCUCCCUUGCCCUCAAAUUAGGGACCUGGUGCUCUGCUACCAUGGUAAUUACUCUGUGACUACACAAUGUGUCUCCACCACCAGAGGAUGUUCUGUGAAGCACCUACAGUAAGCCAGGCCAAGGGAUGUGGGAUAAAUGAUAUGCUUGAUACUGGCCCUGGCAUCAAGAAACUUGUCCUAUAACACAGAAGAAGGAAAACAAGUAAAUCAAGUAUUUCAGAGGCUAUGACCACAGUAUGCACCAGUGUACAAGGCACAGCUCCAUGAUCUUCUUUUUCCCGUGUCCUGAUUUCUCAGAUUGCGAAAGCUAACAUUUACGGAGGGUAUACUACAUGUUUGACACAUUUCUAAGAGCUUUACAUGGAUUUAAUUCUCACAACUCUAAGAGGCUCAGCUAACUUGUUCGGUGCAAAAUAAGCAUGGUGGUCCGUUUUUCUUUUCUGGUGAUUGUUUUGGACUAAGGAGACAGGAUGAGAAGUCUGCUUGAGAACAUCUGGGAAAAGGAUCACCAUAAAAAAAAUACCACCAUAGUUCUUAAAGAGACUCAAAGAAGAAACAACACCUCUUCUGCCUCUGAUCAAGAACCAAUGUGCAAGGACACGCUGUAACAGUCUAUGACCCUGAGAGGAGCUGGUCCACACAAUGAGGCUCGAUCAGCAAGAACAUGGAAAUAACCUGAGUCCUUCAGGAGCCAAGAAAUUAACCAACUCUCAGAACUGAUUUUGUGUAAUCACACAAUAGAUUUCCUUAUUGUUUAAUCCAUUUAGAAUUGAAUUUUCUGUUUUGUACAGCUAAAAGCAUCCUAAAUGUUACCACCUUGGAGAAGCAAAACAAGGUUCUGCCUCUCUGGCAACAUCCUAGCAACAAAAGAAUAAUCCCCCAUCCC